rnacentral:lncRNA from 1 species
UUGAUUUCAGUAGAUUCUGCGCUGAAUAUCGGAAAAGCAUAGGAUAAUUGAGGAUUUUGGGUAUUAUCUGGUUAAUCUUGUUCGGAUUUUGUGGAAGUUGCAAGUAGCUUCACUUUUUUGAGGGAUUAUUCUUCCUGUCAAGAUGAUGAUGUUUGAUGAUAUGAGGUUCUGUGGCGAUCUCGAUUUCUUUCCUGCUCCACUAAAAGAAGUGGAAGCGGCUGCUCCACAGACUGAGCUGGAGCCGGUGGUGGAUGAUGAUUAUAGUGAUGAGGAGAUUGAUGUGGAUGAGUUGGAGAGGAGACUGUGGAGGGACAAGAUGAAGCUGAAAAGGCUGAAGGAAAUGACUAAAAGUAAGGAAGGUGUGGAUCCUGCAAAACAUCGUCAGUUGCAGGAGCAGGCGAGGAGGAAGAAGAGGGCUUUGUUUAUGGGAUCAUUCCGGAAAAAGGCAAGCCGGUCAGUGGGGCAUCUGAUAAUCUAAGGGAGUGGUAGAAAGAUAAAGUGAGGUUCGAUCGAAAUGCCAUAGCCAAAUACCAAGCUGAUCAUGCCAUCCCAGGGAUGAACGAGGGAUCUAAUCCAGUUGGUCCUCAAAUAUUAGCUAUGCUGCUUAUAGAAUGUUUAGAUAAAAUUAAAAAUAAGUUAGCCUAUUUUGUUAUCUGUGUACAAUUUUGGGUGAACUCACCCUGCAGUAAUUUUGAUAUCUUUUUUUUUAUGAAGUAAUUGUUUUCAUUAAUGGCAUCAAGAAGAUGCAUAAAUUACAAAAGAGUGUAGUAAUUGUUAGCUCCUUACAAAUGUUUAGGGAGCUAACAAUAUUCAAAAAACUAUCAGGGGGGUUAAUAGGGGAUAGAUAAGCCCAAUUAUACAAAUACAUGAAGCAUCUGGCCUUGAGUUUGUGAGGAGAAGUUGAUACUCCAUCGAAACACUCUUUCAUUCCAAAUUCUCCAAAAAAUAGCUGCUGGUAUCAUCUUCCAUACUUUUCUGAUGUUGCUAUCAACUUUUCAGUUAAUCCAAGACUCAAAAGCAUCCCUGAUAUUAUGUGGCAUGACCCAUCUAAGCCCAAAGAGUGAUAUAAACAUACUCCAUAAAUCAGUUGCAACAGGCCAUUGAAGAUAAAAAUGACUGAGUUUCUGUCUCUCUCUGACACAUGUAGCAUCUAUUCACAAUCUGAAAAUUCCUCUUGGCUAAAUUGUCUUGUGUCAGACAAGCCUCAUGAAGUGCAGUCCAGUUGAAACAGAUGACUUUGGGUGGCAAUUUGAUUUUCCAUAUUAACUUCCAAGGCCAUUGGUUAGUUAUUACAUUGUGAGUUCCUGCUAACUUGUAUGCUCCUUUGACUGAGUACUUUCCUCAAUCUGAACUACCCCAUUUGAACAGGUCGGUACUAGAAUGUUGCUUGAAAAAUUGUUGAGUGAUGACAGAAGUCUGAGCAGAUGUAAUGACCCAAAAUGUCAUCUUUAAAUUUAAUAAUUAUUUCUGUGAUCUAAGACCUUGGAAAACACUAUUUAUCAUUCCUCGACUUGCGUGUGCAAUCCGUAUAAUUUUUCAGAAAGUUUUAUAUGAAAAAUUGACUAAAAUGUAAAAUAGAGCCUUAAAACUCAACUGAGCAGACGAGGAGUUUUAAUUAUUUCUGUAUAAUUAUUUCUGUGAUCUAAGACCUUGGAAAACACUAUUUAUCAUUCCUCGACUUGCGUGUGCAAUCCGUAUAAUUUUUCAGAAAGUUUUAUAUGAAAAAUUGACUAAAAUGUAAAAUAGAGCCUUAAAACUCAACUGAGCAGACGAGGAGGAAGAAGAUGUCGAGGGCACAGGACGGGAUCUUGAAGUACAUGUUGAAAAUGAUGGAAGUAUGUAAAGCUCAGGGCUUUGUUUAUGGGAUCAUUCCGGAAAAAGGCAAGCCGGUUGGUGGGACAUCUGAUAAUCUUCGGGAGUGGUGGAAGGAUAAAGUGAGAUUCGAUCGAAAUGGCCCUGCGGCCAUAAUAGCCAAAUACCAAGCUGAUCAUGCCAUCCCAGGGAUGAUCGAGGGAUCUAAUCCAGUUGGUCCUACGCCUCACACCUUGCAGGAGCUUAAGAUACCACCCUUGGUUCGUUAUUGUCAGCUCUGAUGCAGCACUGCGAUCCUCCUCAGAGAAGAUUUCCCAUUGGAGAAAGGUGUUUCGCCCCGUGGUGGCCUACAGGGGAGGAGGAUUGCUGGCCUCAGUUGGGUUUUCAGAAGGAACAAAGUCCUCUGCCUUAAAAGAAGCUUCAUGAUCUGAAGAAAGCGUGGAAGGUUGGUGUCCUCACAGCAGUAAUAAAGCACAUGUUCCCCGAUAUUGCUAAAAUCCGUAAGCUUGUAAGGCAGUCAAAGUGCAUUGCAAGAUAAGAUGACAGCCAAAGAAAGUGCAACUUGGCUUGCCUUCAUCAGUCAGGAGGAAGCUUCGGCUCGAGAACUCUAUCCUGAUCGCUGUCCGCCCUUGUCCUCAGCUGGUGCUAGUGGAACUUUUAUGUCGAAUGACAGCAGUAUCACGUUGAAGGUGCUCAAGGUGAGCCCAACUUUGAUGUUCAUGAGCAAAAACCAAACCAUCUCAGCUUGUUGAAUGUUAGUCUCGAGAGAUUCAAGGAGACGCAGCCUCUGCAGCAACAAUCUCAUCCAAACAAAGAUGAAAUGAUCACAAGCUUAGACUUCAACCGGAAGAGGAAGCAAUCCGAUGAACAGACUGUUACGAUGGACCAAAAGAUUUAUACAUGCGAGUUUCCUCAAUGUCCUUACAGUGAACUUCGCCAUGGUUUUCAGGACAGAUCUGCCAGAGACAAUCAUCAAUUAGCUUGCCCUUUCAGAAAUUCUUCCUAAUUGGGAGUUUCAAACUUUCACGUGAAUGAGAUCAAGCCAACUGUCUUCCCUCAUCAAUAUGUCCAGUCAAAGUCAGCUUCUCUGUGAAGUGGUGCCCCAUAUUUUUUUCUGCUGCUGUAUCUUCUGCUUCCAAGUCUGUUUUAACUGUUUGAUUUUCUAUUGCUAUAACAACAUAACUCUUUUAGUUUAUGGUUUGCUUUGGUCAAGUGUCUCCAGGCUUGUGGAUAUGCUUGUUUUAAGUUCAUUUCUAUGGGACUUAGUUAGCUUGCUCAUAUUUGAACAUACUUGAAUUAGCAGAUACCGGGUACCCAGUGGUGUAGGCUGGCGGUCAAUAAAUUAGGUGAAAAUGAUGGCAAAUCGAAGUUCAAAUCAGGUAGAGACAAAAAACGCCAAGUAACUUUUUCCUAUUUGUCCAACUCUAGUGCGGGUGCCUAGUGAAAUAGUCAAGAUGCGCGUAAGUUAGUUUGGCUAUGAUCAUUAUGGAAGAAAAAUAAGAGUAAACAGAUACCCACCUUUAGGGAAAACUGGAAAGUACACAAUUAGCCUAUUUUCCCCUUCCCCACUUCCCUCUCCCAAGAAAAAUGGAACAAGAAAGUAAAUUGAAGGAAUGAAAAAGUAAUAAGACAGGGAUCAUGUGAAUGAGCAGAUCCCAAUUAUGUUUAUUAGUACUUAAUUUCUAAUUUAAGAAGCAAUGUAGUGUUGGCUGGUUCCUUCACAUUCAAUUUUCUUUUGAUUGAUUCUACUUUACUGAACUCUGUUUUCCUUGUAAGAAAAUCGAAAGAUAUGAAACUUAAACAUCAAAUAUAGCAUGGCAAAACUAAUCAGGAAAGUAGUUUUAAUAUUUAUGAGUAAUUCCUAACCUUNNNNNNNNNNNNNNNNNNNNNNNNNAAGAUUUCCGUCAACAAUACAAUAAUUGACGAUGAAGUCUUUGUUCAAAUUUUUUUUUGAUUACCGUGGUGGUGUUCAGGCCAGCUUGCGCACACCUCAGACAAAUUCCACAGGAUACCUGUCAUCUUCUGUCAGCAGGUACCAGGUAAUUCUGUCCACUACGGCUUAGGCAGAUAGAAAAAAAUAAUCACGGAGAGCCACAAGACAAUUUUUUUUUUGUUUGUUUACUACACCUCCAUAUAUACAUGCAUUUGGACAUUUUCCUUCCUAUAUCAACAGAUCCAAUAUAAAAACUAGAAGAUGCACUUCCAUUUAUACAGGUCAAACAGAGAAGAUUAAUAAAUAAAGAAAAAUUUAUUAAACAGGUAAUGCUCAAAGGCAAAUGCAAUGUACAUACAACUAUGCAUUAAGAACUGUCCCAAAAACACUAGACAACUUUUGUUGAUAGGCUAACUGGUUUAUCCCAUUUUCUUAUUAGGAAAAAGAAUUUUCAAGUAGUUUAUUCUCAAACAGUUUGAUGAAAUCAGAACAGUUGUAACAUAAUGACCUGACACAGAAUUGUUUUUAAAUCUUCUACGUGACGAACAUUGGUUAGCUAACACCUGUUUAACAUAAACACGUACUGUUUGUUUUGCUAUUAUAUGCCGAAUCUCGAUUAACUACACAGUUCAGUUAACUAGUUUAUGAUAUACAUGCAAUUUUCGAGCCAUGGAAACAGAAACUAAUGUUGUAUUAGAGUAGAUUGUGUACAUUACACCAUUUAAGGUGCGAUACUUCCCUAAGCCCUCGAGAUGCUUUGUGCAAAGGACAACUCUUUCUAUUGGAUAAGAUUCCUAUGAGAAACAACAAGUUAAAACGAAACAUAAAGAGCCAAAGUAUGAAUUAAUAUAAUUGUGAACGGUAACUCAAACAAUUAACUAAUGUUAUGGGAUAGAUAAAAUCAUUCCAUCAUUAAUUUUCUCUUCAAUGGCGUCAUAGUAAUGGGGUGAAAUGAAUAAGAUCUCCACCUUUAAACGAAAAUCUCGAGUUUGAGCCAUAAAAAUGAAGAAAUUCUUUGUAAAAAUAUUUUUUUCUUUAACGGACCUUGACAAUAAGAACUUAAAUUAAUCGAGCCAAUAAGUAUCAUAUACAAAUGGUUAAAACAAAACGAUAACCCAAUACUUUGUGCUGCUAAAAUACAUGGCAGAAAUAAUGUGCACACAUGCAGGACAGGAAAGCUCAGAGAAUGCCUAUCUAUUUUUUUAUUUUAUUUUUUGGUAAGCAAAAUUUUUUAUUUUCAAACCAAAAGAUAUGUACAGCACAAGUCGAAAACGACAUAAGAGUUUGGAUAUCAUGGAUCAUGCCCCAAACUCUUGCAAACAUCUCCCAUUUGAUUUAUAAGUUUAUCGUUUAUGUUAUUUAAUUUAAUUUUAUAAGAUAUAUCUCUAAUGUUGUAGUUAUGACAGUUUCUUCAAAACCAGCAGACUCUGAAGAAAAUUAAGUUUAAAAAUAGUAAACUAUUAUAAUCUAUAAAANNNNNNNNNNCCAUUGAUAUAAAAAUUAUCCUUUCAAAUUUUUAUUCUGUUAAAUAAAAAAAGAAGAGGGAAAACUGACUUUAUAAGUGAUUUGGGGUGAAAAGUUUUUCCUUUUGGUAUAGCGACAUUUGCCUGUUAGCAUGUAUCAUGUGCAAUUUCACUAUUGUCAAGUCUUUGGGACAAUAAUUGGCCAGUUCCGUUGCCACUUCUACUUACCCCAAGUGUCCCUCCACAUCCAUUGGUUGCCGCCAUCAAACACUUGGAUAAUAACCCCCUUUUUCACUUUCUAACUUUUCCCUUUCUUGUUCUUUCACCUUUUUUUUUUCUACUAACAAAAACAGAAGAUAAAAAAGGUCUAUGAAACAAGGAGUUAAGCAAGGAUCGAGUGAUUGAUAAAGAAUUUGUCCAAAGUUAAUCUUGUCAAGAGUCGAGUCUUUAUCGGAAAUAAUUUUUCUACCCCUUAAAAGUAUAGGGUUGUUCAAAACCGAACCGUAACUGUUAACCGAACCACAAAAACGGCUUAUUGACUUAUUGAUAUCAGGUUAUCGAGGUAAUGGUUGGUGAACGGAUUGAAAUUUUAUAAUUAACGGCUUAACGGUUUGAGAGCGGAUUACUCAAUUUCCUUACCAAAUAAACCGUUAAAAUUUUUUAUAUUUAUACUUUUACCUCUCUUUCUAUGUAUAAAGUAAUAUUUGAUGUAUGAUUGGAUUUGAUGAUAAAUAAUAGAUGUAGACCUUGAUGUAUGAUUGGAUUUGUUUGAUUUUUUCAAUGAAAAUGGUAUUUAAAAUCAUGCCGGAGAGUAAACCUUGGAUAUCACAAAAGCAUAUGAUUAUUCUUCUUAAUGAGGCUACCAAUAUCAUCAAUUUGUGGCAACAGUGAGUGGUGGUGAUUUAGCCUAAGCCUUCAUAGAACAAGAUAUGUAUAUUGUGCUGCCACUGUACGUCAUCAUUUUGUUUGCUAUCAUGAUCUGGUAAGUAAUAUAUGUAGAGUAUAUAUACUUAAGCCACAAUCUUGAACUAUAUGAUCAACAAAAAAUGUUAUCAUUGCCAUCUAAGAGAAAAAAGAGAUUUAUUUUACAAGAAUUGUCUAUUGAGAUUGAGAACCUAUCUCUCUCGCUCUGUACAUGAAAUUGUUAUUAACAGUAUUGCUAAAACCAACUGGAUUAUAUAAAUGCUUGACUAGAGAGAGGCGAGCACCGAGCAGAUGAAUGCUUUACUUCAAAAAAUUUCUUAUCUCUAAUUCUCAACUUUUUUUUUAUUGUCUAUUUGAUUUAGCUGAUAAACCGCCCAAUAAUCGUUAAUCCGAUACCAGUUCACACGAUAUCUUAUUGGAUGGCUAGCGGAUUACUACAUUUAUAAACCGAUAAUGGAUAAGUCAAACCGUUAACGUAAAUAUCUGUCUGAUGUACCCUAUAAGCAACCCUAGGGGUAGGUCUUUAUGCACCACACCCUCCUCAGACCCCACUUAUUGAAUAAUAUGGAGUAUGUUAUUAUUGUUGUUCAAAGUUAGUCUUGUGUACAAUUCUACGGUUAAAAGAAUUUGACUUAAUAAAUCUCAAUAUGUUUAGAUAGUACAGUUUAAAGUUAAGAUGUCACAAUUUAAAAUCGCAAUAACACCAAUUAAAAUGGUUUCAUGGUCUAUGCUAAGUUAACCAAUUGAAUUUUCUCUUCCUCUAUCAACUUUGUGAAGAAAAGAAAAUUAAUAACCUUUAAACACAAAAUAUUAGAAAAUUUUAAUUUCUUAUAAUAUGUUAUACCAUUUGGUUCUUUCCAACUCUAAGCAAAACAUCCCCUUUUCACCUAAAGGAUGUCCUAAACUAAGUUAAGUUUUCUUAAUUACUUUCCUAAUUUACACUCAAUCACUUGCCUUAAAUGCUCUUUUCUCUUUCUAACUUACACUCCAUAUAUGCAAAGAAAAAGAAAAAUGUAAGGCUAUUUGUAUGAUCAAUUUAAGUUGAUCCCCUAAUUGGUCAAAUGUAACUGUCGCAAGAAACAAAUAUUCAAAGAAACUCAAAAGGAUAAGACACCCUAAGGUAAUUGCCAACUCAUAAAUUCAACAAAAACAAGAAACAACAAAGUAACACAUUUCUUUCCCCAUCCCCACAACAUUUUACUAAAAAUUCAUUGCAUUCCCACUUGAAAGAAAAGGUCAUUGACCCAUAGGGGUUCCCAAGAAAAAUUCCCCUCCUUAAAUACAUACAAUUGUCAUAUUUACUUAUUAUCUCACAUACAAAAGGAUUUAUUGUCCUGUACUAGCCUUCUUCUAACCUUCGGAAAAUAGUUGUCUACAUUAUUUUACACUAAUUAUUCGGGCAAUUUAAUCAUUAGAAUUAUAAAAUAAAGUGAAAAUAAUGUAUAUUCCCUCCGGUCUUAUAUUAUUUGUUUUGGUUACUAACUAUAUCUGGUGCAAAAUAGUUGUCGUUUUAAAAAAUAAAGUAUAAUUAAUUACUUUUUUUUAUCAUUUUGCGCUUAGUAUUAGAUGUUCCCGGACGUAAAAACAUUGACUAUAUAGCAUAGAAAACUUAAAAGUGAAAAGUAUUAAAUAAGGGUAUAGUAAUCAAAAAGCUCUCUUAUUAACGGUUUUUGAAAGUAAAAAUAUUGACUACGUAGCAUAGCAAACUUAUAAGUGAAAAGUCAAUAAGAGAAUAGUCAAAAAGUCCUCUUAUUAUAAAAAGAAACACGGCAAUUAUAAGGGAGAGAGUACUAUCAUUUAAUUAUUAUUAAGUAAAAAUUAUUAAUAAGACAAAAAAAUAUAUAUUAUAUUUAUUUCCAUCGCACAAACACUAGAUACGAGUAGCUUUAUUUCUCCUUUCCACCUUAUAACUUAUCCUUUUCUAUCAUACUGCACUUCAAGCUACACCUACACUCAAAGCGCUAAAUCAUCCCAACCCACCCACCCACAAACAUGUAAAAACGGAUCACACUUGAUAUAUACAUAUAAAAUAAGGUAUUUAACUCUAGGAGAAACAUUAAUCACAAACUCGAAUGCAUAGAGCGACGAACAUGGCUCAAGAGUGUCUUUGUUGGUUUACAUGAUUAAACCAUCCAUGUCUUUCUUGUUCCACUAGUUAGGAGAUAAUUUAAAAAUGUUCCCUUCGUUAUUACUUAUUUUUGGAAACAUCAUUUUUUCACCUAUUAGAAAGAAAAGAACUUAAAUAAAAAUACUUAAUAGCAUAACGAUAUAUUUAUAUAAAACUUGUACCCCGAGCACACGCAAUGAAAUCGUAGACCGUCAAGUAGAGUAAAAUUAAGUUAGGCAUGUAUUAAUCAUUAUUUCUUGAUCAUAAUACCUUUAUUUGAACUUUAAUAAUUUAAUUAUUGAAGUUGGUAAUAUACAUCACAUAUUUUUGGGAUGUGCCACUUCUCCGGACCCUGCAAAAAUAUGAGAUGUUUUAUGCAUUAGGCUCCCAUUUUUUGAGGUGGUGAUAUUUCAUAUUCUUUAGAACAAUAGCUCACUAUAUUUACUUUACAUAUUUUCUUAUUUUAGUCUAUUAACCCAUAUUUGACAAACGAAAUAAGAUAAAAAAAGAAAGUAAAUUAUGCAUUUAUUUUUUUGGAACGUAAGAUUGUGUUCCUCGCAUUCACUCGUCCUCAUAAUUCGCAACAUCUGCCUCUCCUCUUAUGAACACAGAGUAAUUAAAAUAUUUAUUUACAUUCUGUGUUUACACUAUAAUUAAUAGCUAAAAAUGACUCUGAAUAUAGCUUUGUUAGAAUAAACAAUAACGAGAUGACCUCUUUAACAAAGAAUAGUGACACCUUACUACAGAUCAAUAAAUUUAAACGUGUUAUAAAAUAAAGACAGUAAAGUAAAGACAAGUAUAGAGAGAAACUGAUAUAUUAUUCAAACUUCAAACUUAUAUACAUAAUGAACUGAAAACUCUUCUAUUUAUAGAAGAAAGGAAGCAGCUGCGAAGCUUUUCAGGAAGCAGCCGCAAGGCUUUUCUUUAGCUGCUUGUAAAUUAUUUGCAUUGCUUGCAACUUGCCUGUUUAAUAAGAAGUUUCUGCAAAUUAUUUCAUUGAGCUGCUUGCAACCUGCCUGCAUCAGCUGCUUGUAGAUAAACUUAAAUAGAGUACUAAAUGAAUAAUAUUUUUCAGAAAGAUUAUCUAUAGCGGAGUAAUAAAUGGACAUCCACGGUAAAAUUAUUUUAUAACAAAACGUGUGUUUAUAUAGAGGCCAAGAGGAUAAAUAUCCAAAAAGAAAAAAAGAAAAGAAAAGAGCAGCAAAAGAAACCAAAGGAAAAGCUUACUGGCUUGGCUUUUAGAAAAGAGCCGACACUUUUCAUCUCCCAAUACGUUUCCACCGUCAAAAUAGUACUAUCACAUUCACAUCUCCAUUAUUAAAAUUGUAUGUAUUACUACUAUAACUUCCCCAUCCCCCUCUCCCUCUGUCGUCCAUCUACAGUCGAAAGGGUCAAUUAUUCUCUAACCAGAAGAAAAGUUGAACAGACUCUUGUAAGGAAAAGAAAUCUUUUUUUUUUUUCCUUUAUAGAACUAUUUCCUGAAAAUAUUUGCUUCAAUACCUUGUGUGGUCAAGUUAAUUAGAUCUUUACUGGGUUUUGAUGUUAGUUUCAUUUGGGGUUUGGUUUUUCCUCUCAAAUUAUGUUUGACUUCAGUUUUUGACAUCCGCUGAUAAAUUGAUCUUUGAAAUUAUGGGUGUAUUUUCUAUGUUGUGAUAUGUGGCCCUGAGUAUUGAUGUAAAGAUUUGAGCUUUUGCUUCACGAUUGGAUUUUUCUGUUCUGAAUUUGUUGAAUAUAGUUUGUUCUAUAAUCAACUGAUAAAUCUAAUAUACGAAAAUUAGUCCUAUGGUCUCUGAAGUCUUCUUUUACUACAUAGUUAGGUACGUUACAGGAUUUUUAUUACGAACUCCCUCUUUCUUUUUCUAGCUUUCUGUUUGAUUACAUGAAUAUUUGAUAUUUUAGAUCUGGUAAAGUAUGUCAAUAUUCUUGGAUUUUCGCGGGAGAUAGUUUGUACAGUUUUUUCUGUUGAGUUUCCGAGAAAAUGGGAAUUGCAGAGUGCUUAUAUUGUCUGGAGAUAAUAUUGGCUUUAUCUCAUAUGAACAAAACUAUGCUUCUUUUUUGGCUCAUCUAAAUAUGGAUCAAUCAACUUUUUGUUUGUCGUUUCUGUGUGAUUUGAAUUUCAGUUCUGGAAAUGUUUACUGAGAUUUUCUUAUGUUCCUUGUUAAUGUAUUUACAGGAGGGAAGAUCAUGUAAUUUGAUUGAUUUCAGUAGAUUCUGCGCUGAAUAUCGGAAAAGCAUAGGAUAAUUGAGGAUUUUGGGUAUUAUCUGGUUAAUCUUGUUCGGAUUUUGUGGAAGUUGCAAGUAGCUUCACUUUUUUGAGGGAUUAUUCUUCCUGUCAAGAUGAUGAUGUUUGAUGAUAUGAGGUUCUGUGGCGAUCUCGAUUUCUUUUCUGCUCCACUAAAAGAAGUGGAAGCGGCUGCUCCACAGACUGAGCCGGAGCCGGAGCCGGUGGUGGAUGAUGAUUAUAGUGAUGAGGAGAUUGAUGUGGAUGAGUUGGAGAGGAGAAUGUGGAGGGACAAGAUGAAGCUGAAAAGGCUGAAGGAAAUGACUAAAAGUAAGGAAGGUGUGGAUCCUGCAAAACAUCGUC